UUAAAUAAAUACUGAAUUUUCUCAAAUGGAUUCAAUUUUUGUUAAAAAUAAAAUAAAAUAUUAAUUUUUUUAUUUUAAAUUAUUAAAAGAAUAUAAAAGAUAAAAAAAAGUUCUUUAUUUAUUUUGUGGAAAUAAAAAUUAAAUUCAAUUUUCCUCUCAACCCCUCUCCCUCCCAAGCUCGUUUUGCAUAUCCACCUCCUCUUCUCUUUUUUGCAUUUCCUAUCUCUCUUCUCUCCAAAAUCUCCAUAGCUAAGUAUUAUUUUUAUGUGACUUAAAUUUUAAUAAUGCCUUCAUAGACCCAUUGAAUUUUAGUCCCAUUGUUUUUGGUUAUAAGUUUAACAAUAUAGAACAUGAGAAGGAUAAAAAGAAUAAAUCGAAGAAACUCAAGUUGAAGAAUGAA
rnacentral:misc_RNA from 1 species